rnacentral:rRNA from 1 species
AUGGAGGGAUGCCAAAUAAAGCGCUCCAUCUGCAAGCCACUUGCAGCACACAUCUACAACAAACUAGACACAGGAACCAUGAAAAUAACGUUUGGUGAAGUUGAUCGGCAGAAAGAAAUCAUAAUAACAAAGGAAGGCAUCCACAAGGUGUUUGGAUACCCAAACGGUACAGAAAGGACAGCACCAAGGCCAAAGAUUUCCACUGAAACAAUGAGCGAACUGGUCAGAGAACUUGGCCUCAAGAAAAUGGAUUUCCAUCACAAUGAUUUGUUUAAAGAACUAGAAAAAUUGGUGAAACAAGAUGACGAACAAUCAAAUAGGAAAUCAAUUAAAAAAAUAUUCCUUAUUUUUUUCAACAACAUUGUCUGUGGAACAACCUCCCCUACCUUUAGCAAACAAGCCAUUAUUGACAAGGACUUGGACUAUACAAAAAUGGCAAAGAUGGAUUUCUGCCAGGUAAUCGUCGAAAGUAUUAGGGAAGGAGCCAAGAUAUGA